rnacentral:rRNA from 1 species
UACGAAGGGGGCUAGCGUUGUUCGGAUUUACUGGGCGUAAAGCGCGCGCAGGCGGCUUGGCAAGUCGAGGGUGAAAUCCCAGAGCUCAACUCUGGAAUUGCCUUCGAGACUGCUAGGCUUCGAGUACGGGAGAGGUGAGUGGAAUUCCCAGUGUAGAGGUGAAAUUCGUAGAUAUUGGGAAGAACACCGGUGGCGAAGGCGGCUCACUGGCCCGUUACUGACGCUCAGGCGCGACAGCGUGGGGAUCAAACAGG